CCUACGGGAGGCAGCAGUGGGGAAUAUUGGACAAUGGGGGCAACCCUGAUCCAGCCAUGCCGCGUGUGUGAAGAAGGCCCUCGGGUUGUAAAGCACUUUCAGUGAGGAAGAACGCCUGGUGGUUAAUACCCAUCAGGAAAGACAUCACUCACAGAAGAAGCACCGGCUAACUCCGUGCCAGCAGCCGCGGUAAUACGGAGGGUGCGAGCGUUAAUCGGAAUUACUGGGCGUAAAGCGCGCGUAGGUGGCUUGAUAAGCCGGUUGUGAAAGCCCCGGGCUCAACCUGGGAACGGCAGCCGGAACUGUCAAGCUAGAGUGCAGGAGAGGAAGGUAGAAUUCCCGGUGUAGCGGUGAAAUGCGUAGAGAUCGGGAGGAAUACCAGUGGCGAAGGCGGCCUUCUGGACUGACACUGCCACUGAGGUGCGAAAGCGUGGGUAGCAAACAGGAUUAGAUACCCUGGUAGUC
rnacentral:rRNA from 1 species